UCGGCGGACACGCCCCGGGCGCGCCCUCACAGGCGUGCCCCGGAACCAGGCGCCCGCCGGGGGACCGAAACUCUUGUUUUCCUAGAGGAUCUCUGAGUGUGAUUAUAAAAUCAAAUCAAAACUUUCAACAACGGAUCUCUUGGCUCUGGCAUCGAUGAAGAACGCAGCGAAAUGCGAUAAGUAAUGCGAAUUGCAGAAUUCAGUGAAUCAUCGAAUCUUUGAACGCACAUUGCGCCCGCCAGUACUCUGGCGGGCAUGCCUGUCUGAGCGUCAUUUCAACCCUCGCGCCCGGCUUCUGUCGGGGGCGGUGUUGGGGAUCGGCCUCCCGUCUCCGGGCGGCCGUCCCCUAAANCCAGUGGCGACCGCGCCGUAGCCUCCUCUGCGUAGUAGUGAAACACUCGCGGGCGGAGAGCGGUGUGGCCCGCCGUAAAACCCCCCAACUUCUCAAGGUUGACCUCAGAUCAGGUAGGAAUACCCGCUGAACUUA
rnacentral:rRNA from 1 species